rnacentral:tRNA from 1 species
GUCCCCAUCGUCUAGCCUGGUCUAGGACAUCAGAUUUUCGAUCUGACGACGCGGGUUCGAAUCCCGCUGGGGACGCCA